rnacentral:rRNA from 1 species
AUGAACGCUGGCGGCGUGCCUAACACAUGCAAGUCGAACGGAGAUAAGACGCUGACGAGACUUCGGUCAAAUCUUGUUUAUCUUAGUGGCGGACGGGUGAGUAACGCGUGGGCAACCUGCCUCAUACUGGGGGAUAGCAGUUGGAAACGACUGAUAAUACCGCAUAAGCGCACGGAGUCGCAUGACUCAGUGUGAAAAACUCCGGUGGUAUGAGAUGGGCCCGCGUCAGAUUAGCCAGUUGGCAGGGUAACGGCCUACCAAAGCGACGAUCUGUAGCCGGCCUGAGAGGGCGGACGGCCACAUUGGGACUGAGACACGGCCCAAACUCCUACGGGAGGCAGCAGUGGGGGAUAUUGCACAAUGGAGGAAACUCUGAUGCAGCGACGCCGCGUGAAGUGAAGAAGUAUUUCGGUAUGUAAAGCUCUAUCAGCAGGGAAGAAAGGCUCCGCAAGGAGAGAUGACGGUACCUGACUAAGAAGCCCCGGCUAACUACGUGCCAGCCGCAGC